CAGCAAUAGAAUGUUAAAUGUAGCUGUACCUAGGAGACAGCAGACAGCAACAGAAUGUUAAAUGUAGCUGUACCUAGGAGACAGCAGCAGCAACAGAAUGUUAAAUGUAGCUGUACCUAGGAGACAGCAGCAGCACAGCAUGGGGGGGCUCUCUGCACCAGAACAAUGUGUGGUAAAUCCUGGCUCUCCCUCCCGGAUACACAGGGAGGCAGGAAGGCAGAGAGAACAGCCUCCAUGCCGGCAGAUAGAGGUCCUGGACAGUACGUGGAUCCACAGGGAGGCAGGAAGACAGAGAGAACAGCCUCCAUACGGACAGAUAGAGGUCCUGGACAGUACGUGGAUCCACAGGGAGGCAGAGAGAACAGCCUCCAUGCCGGCAGAUACAGGUCCUGGACAGUACGUGGAUCCACAGGGAGGCAGGAAGACAGAGAGAACAGCCUCCAUGCCGGCAGAUAGAGGUCCUGGACAGUACGUGGAUCCACAGGGAGGGAGGAAGACAGAGAGAACAGCCUCCAUGCCGGCAGAUAGAGGUCCUGGACAGUACGUGGAUCCACAGGGAGGCAGAGAGAACAGCCUCCAUGCUGUUCAGGUACAGUAUCUUACAUACAGUGUUCCUACAUUACUACCAACAUCAACGGACUUGGGACUUGUCAGUAACAGUGUCACAUACUGUUAAUAUGUAUUAGAGUUACAGUAACACAA
ensembl:lncRNA